GACGAACGCUGGCGGCGUGCUUAACACAUGCAAGUCGAACGGUAAGGCCCCAGCUUGCUGGGGUACACGAGUGGCGAACGGGAGAGUAACACGUGGGUGACCUGCCCUGCACUUAGGGAUAAGCCUAGGAAACUGGGCCUAAUACGGGAUAGGUCAGCACCGAGAGGGCGUGGCGGGAAGUUUUUCGGUGUGGGAUGGGCCCGCGGCCGUUCAGCUGGUUGGUGGGGUAUGGCCUAACAAGGCGGCGAGGGGUAGCCGGCCUGAGAGGGGGGGCGGCCACAUUGCGACUGAGACACGGCCCAGACCCCUACGGGAGGCAGCAGUGGGGAAUAUUGUACAAUGGGCGGAAGCCUGAUGCAGCGACGCCGCGUGGGGGAUGACGGCCUUCGGGUUGUAAACUCCUUUCACCUUCGCCGAAGGUUUUCUGACGGUAGAUGGAGAAGAAGCACCGGCUAACUACGUG
rnacentral:rRNA from 1 species